rnacentral:rRNA from 1 species
UACGAAGGGGCUAGCGUUGCUCGGAAUCACUGGCGUAAAGGGUGCGUAGGCGGGUCUUUAAGUCAGGGUGAAUCCUGGAGCUCAACUCCAGAACUGCCUUGAUACUGAAGAUCUUGAGUUCGGAGAGGUGAGUGGAACUGCGAGUGUAGAGGUGAAAUUCGUAGAUAUUCGCAAGAACACCAGUGGCGAAGGCGGCUCACUGGCCCGAUACUGACGCUGAGGCACGAAAGCGUGGGAGCAAACAGG